rnacentral:rRNA from 1 species
GACGAACCGAGCGAACGUUGUUCGGAAUCACUGGGCUUAAAGGGCGCGUAGGCGGGCUGCCGCGUCCGGGGUGAAAUCCUCCCGCUCAACGGGAGAACGGCCUCGGAUACGGGCGGCCUCGAGGGGGGUAGGGGCAUCUGGAACUGUGGGUGGAGCGGUGAAAUGCGUUGAUAUCCAUAGGAACUCCGGUGGCGAAGGCGGCACGCUGGACCUUUUCUGACGCUGAGGCGCGAAAGCCAGGGGAGCAACGGG